AACAUCCAUGAAUGGUCCACAGUAAACGUUUACUGAGAAAAAAAAAACAUUUUUCAAAAGUAAAGCUUGUUUCUUUUUGUAUUGAAGCUUAUGAAAUCUUCAUCAAAAUUUCUUUAAUUUUCUGGGUGUUUUUAAGGUAAUUCAAGAGAUGGGUUCAUAUUGUUUUAAUCUUUUUGAUUGAUUUUUGAUAGCCUUAAAGUUGAUUUAGAAGUAAAGAAAGAAGAAGAAGACUUAUGGGGUGGCUUCCUUGUUCUGGGAAAUCAAAUACCAAAGCUAAUAAAUCCAAGAAAAAGAAAAAAAUGGAAGAGAUGGCACUUGAUCGGCUCAAACCCACUUCAGAAAAAUCGAAAACGGAUUCAUCGUCAAGUGGGGAGACGUCAAACAGAGGAGGAAGUGAACAUAUUGCUGCACAGACUUUUCCGUUUCGUGAAUUGGCAAUGGCAACUAAGAAUUUUAGUUCAGAGUGCCUUUUGGGAGAAGGAGGUUUUGGUCGAGUGUACAAAGGGCGUUUGGAGAGCAUAAAUCAGAUUGUUGCUAUAAAGCAACUUGAUAGAAAUGGGUUGCAAGGAAACAGGGAAUUCCUUGUUGAGGUUCUAAUGCUAAGCCUUCUUCAUCAUCCAAACCUUGUUAAUCUCACUGGAUACUGUGCUGAUGGAGAUCAAAGGCUUCUGGUUUACGAAUAUAUGCCUUUAGGUUCUCUUGAAGACCAUUUACAUGACAUUUCACCUAGUAAGAAAAGACUUGAUUGGAGUACAAGAAUGAAAAUAGCUGCUGGGGCUGCAAAGGGAUUGGAGUAUUUGCAUGAUAAAGCAAGUCCCCCAGUUAUAUACAGAGAUUUGAAAUGCUCCAACAUUUUACUUGCUGAAGGGUAUUUUCCCAAGUUAUCUGAUUUUGGCUUGGCCAAGCUUGGACCUGUUGGAGAUAACACCCAUGUAUCUACAAGGGUUAUGGGAACUUAUGGAUAUUGUGCCCCGGAGUAUGCAAUGACUGGUCAGUUAACUGUGAAAUCUGAUGUUUAUAGCUUUGGAGUUGUUCUUCUAGAAAUCAUAACCGGGAGGAAAGCCAUUGAUAAUUCUAAAGCUUCUGGGGAACAGAAUCUAGUUGCAUGGGCAAGGCCAUUAUUCAAAGACAGAAAAAUGUUCUCUCAAAUGGCUGAUCCAAUGCUCCAAGGUCAAUAUCCUCCAAGGGGUUUAUUCCAAGCACUUGCAGUGGCAGCAAUGUGUGUUCAAGAGCAACCAAAUAUGAGACCUCUCAUUGCUGAUGUAGUCACAGCUUUGACUUACCUUGCUUCUCAAAAAUUCAAACCAGAUACACAGCCAAUACAAGGUUCUCGCUUGAUGCCUGGUACUCCACCUCGGACAAAGAGAGACAGAGAUAAGAAGCUCAAUGGUGGCAACAGUUCCGAAAGGGAUCGGACAAGGAGGUUAAGUUGAUACCUGCUGAGGUUCAUCAUCACCAUCUGGGUCUUUUUUGGGAUCUUCCAACUGUUGAUAGAUGCUGAUAUUUACCUUGAUUUUGUCCCGCAAGCCAAGUCCAAAUGACAAUAUCCCUCCUCCCUUUCGUCCAGAAUUGGCUCGUUGAGUCCUACAAAAGACAACAAGAAAAGAAGAGAGAACCUGAAGCUCGGCAUUUGCUUCUCUCAAGGCAGCUGCUUCUUUCUCUGCUUUUUUGCGAGCUUCUUCGACAAUCCUUUGCUCCUGCUCCAGCUGCUCUAAAACCUGUAGCACAGAGAAUCUAAAAAUCACUAGAGGACUUGUAAGAGAAUAAUAAUUUAGCAAUAGUUCCAGAAAAAAUGCAUUCAAGAAGAGGCAGGUUAUACCUUAAGCAUUGCAGCUUCUUGCUCUCUCUUAAAAGCAAGAGCUUGGUGUUGAUCAGCCACCUCUUGCUCUAACUGUUCAAUCUGCAGCAUUAUCAACAAACCUCAAAUCCUGCAAGCAACUUCAGUAACCCAAAGCUCACAGAACAGUGGAAGUAUUUCGUUGAAUCAAUUAUAUGCUUGGCGGGUUUAGCAUAUUCAUAUAAAAAGUUUUACAUAUACCUUUUCAUUCAGUUCUUGUCGAUUAUCUUCUUUGGUCAACUCCAUAAGUGCUAUCUCAAGCUCAUCAGCUCUGGAAAAGAACAGGACCCACAGUUACACGUAAAUGAUAAGUUAUAGAGGUUCGCAGAAAUAUCAGAAACAAUUCAUGGCAAGAAAACAUGAACAUUGUCAUAAGGGAUCCAUUCCUAAUUUUGAAGUAGAAUGCUAAUUAUAAUUCCAUCAGAUGCACUUUUGUCCA